GAUGAACGCUGACAGAAUGCUUAACACAUGCAAGUCGAUGGGGAAGUGGUGCUUGCACCAUGGCAACCAUGGCGGACGGGUGAGUAACGCGUAAGGGACUUACCUGCAGGACUGGGAUAACAGGGGGAAACUCCUGACAAGACCGGAUAAUGUCAUGGAGCUGCAUGGCUUUAUGAUGAAAGGAGACGCCUGCGGAGAGCCUUGCGUCCUAUUAGCUAGUUGGUGAGGUAAUGGCUCACCAAGGCGAAGAUAGGUAGCCGGCCUGAGAGGGUGGACGGCCACAAGGGGACUGAGAUACGGCCCUUACUCCUACGGGAGGCGGCAGUGGGGAAUAUUGGACAAUGGGGGCAACCCUGAUCCAGCAAUUCUGUGUGCACGAAGAGGGUUUUCGGAUUGUAAAGUGCUUUCAGCAGGGAAGAAGUAAGUGACGGUACCUGCAGAAGAAGCGACGGCUAAAUACGUG
rnacentral:rRNA from 1 species